GGAGUUCGCUCUGUCUUUCGGUGUCUUCUAGACUGAAGCCCACUGUGUCCAGGGCAAGCUCCCCGACCAACUCCGACUCUUGCUGUUUCCAAGGUUCCAGCUUCUUGUUUUCCAGAUGCUAUUUGCAGACCACGCAGUGACCCAUUCGUCCUUGUACCGCUGGGUUAGGGUCUCCCCGACCUAGCUGGUCUCGGCAAGUGGCGUCCAUUGUGGGGACUCGAAUCCAGGUCGAAGAGUUGCCAGAACAAUGGUUGGAAUGGAAAACUAGCUGGAGGACACUCGAGUACUCUUAAAGCAAUCCCUGUGAUGCAGUAUUACCUGGAAAGAAGCUAAAGCUAUUAUCCAGCGAUGCCCAACUUGCCAAAUGGCACGUUCCUCAUCUUUUACAGGAGGAGUUAACCCUCGAGGACUGGAACCUAACUCUCUUUGGCAAAUGGAUAUCACCCAUGUCCCCUCGUUUGGGAGACUAGCUUAUGUACAUGUAUGUGUGGACACCUUUUCUCACUUUGUAUGGGCUACAUGCCCAUCAGGAGAGCCUUCUGCCUGUGUUAAACGUCAUCUUUUGCAGUAUUUUGCGGUGGUGGCAUUCCAGCUUCUAUUAAAACAGAUAAUGCCCCAGGCUAUACUAGCCAAGCUCUAGCUACAUUUUUCUCUAUGUGGAAUAUUAAACAUGUUACUGGUAUCCCAUACGAUUCUCAAGGACAAGCCAUAGUGGAAAGAAUGAAUCUCUCCCUAAAACAGCAGUUGCAAAAGCAGAAAGGGGGAGACAGAGUAUAUGGAACCCCAUAGAUGCAACUGAACCUAGCAUUCUUAACUUUAAAUUUUUUGAGCCUGCCCAAAGACCAGAUGUUAUCAGCAGCUGAACAGCAUCUACAGAAACCAGCUGCAAAGACAAAAGCAGAACAACUGGUUUGGUGUAGAGAUCCGAUUACAAAACGUUGGGAAAUAGGUAAAAUAAUAACUUGGGGUAGAGGUUAUGCUUGUGUUUCUCCAGGCCAAAAUCAACAGCCGAUUUGGAUACCAUCAAGACACCUGAAACCUUAUCAUGAGCCAGAUGCAGAGGAAGAGAUUCCAGGAGGAUCCCGAGGACCCCCGGUUGCAGCCAUGUCAAGACUGACGCUGCGGAGGGCCCCAACUGUCACGAGCAAUACCCAUCGAACACAGUCACCCACCUGGGGACAGAACAAGAAGCUGUCACAGAUGGCAGAAGAAAACCUGAGGAAAGCGGGACAACCAGUCACAAUGAAUAAUUUAAUGAUAGCUCUGAUAGCGGUUAUCACCACUGCCGUGAGUCCUCCUUCAAUAAGGGCUUACACGGAGAACAGUUCUACUUAUUGGGCAUAUUUAUCCAUCUUGGCUGGCAAUAAUGCCUGGAUGCAAUCACUCUGACACAGUUACACAUGCUUUCUGAUCUCAGUAUUUACCAUAAUAAAUCUGCUCUUAUAAUUGACACACACCACCCUCAAAAACCUAUUUGUAAACAGGAUUGGAACCAGUUAGAAAAAAUGAACGUACUUGUUUAGGAAGAUUGCAUUGCAGAACAGGCAGAGGUGCUGCACAGCAAUUCCUGAGGAAUCAUUAUUAAUUGGUCCCCCAAGGGGAUGUUUAGCUUGAACUGCACCUCUCAGUCUGCGUGCCACGGCCACACUAUGUUCAGAUGAUCUGAACAAAACGGUCAGAUGGUAGAAAUGGUAAGAAGUACGGCAAGAGUUCCUAUUAUCUGGAACCAUGGCGGUAUAGUAGCACCUCAACCUCAAAUGAUGUGGGCCGCUCUAGGAGCUUAACAUAAGGAUUUAAAAUGUAAAGAACAAAUAUUUAAAGCAUCCCAGGCACACCUGACCUUAAUUCCAGGACCUGGAGUGCUCAAAGGAGCUGAAAAUGGAGAAAAACACUUGGAAGCUCUGUGAUUUCAAAGAUGAUUGUGCUUUUAAUCUGUGUUGUUUGUCUUUGUAUAGUCUGCAGAUGUGGAUCCUGACUCCUGCAAGAAGUAGCUCACUGUGACAAAGCUGCCUUUGCUUUUAUCGAUUUGCAAAUCAGAGAAGGGGGACAUAUUGGGAGCAGGCCCCCCAAAAUCUGGCCAUAAACUGGCCCCAAAACUGGCCAUAAACAAAAUCUCUGCAGCACUGUAACAUGUUCAUAAUGGCCCCUAAUGCCCAAGCUGGAAGGUUGUGGGUUUACAGGAAUGAGGGCGAGGAACACCUGGCCCGCCCAGGGUGGAAAACCGCUUAAAGGCAUUCUUAAGCCAAACAAUAGCAUGAGUGAUCUGUGCCUUAAGGACAUGCUCCUGCUGCAGUUAACUAGCCCAACCUAUUCCUUUAAUUCGGUCCAUCCCUUCGUUUCCCGUAAGGGAUACUUUUAGUUAAUUUAACAUCUAUAGAAGCAAUGCUAAUGACUGGUUUGCUGUUAAUAAAUUCGUGGGUAAAUCUCUGUUCAGGGCUCUCAGCUCUGAAGCUGUGAGACCCCCGAUUUCCCACUUCCCAUGUCUA